rnacentral:sRNA from 1 species
UUUGAAAUAUUUUUCAACAAUGGUCCAUAUAUUUUUGUUUUCAUUUUAGAACAAAAUCCAGUCUCAUAGCAGAGGAGAAUAUAAUGUUUACAGCACCUUCCAGAGCCAUGAACCAGAGUUUGACUACUUGAAAAGUUUAGAAAUAGAAGAAAAGAUCAACAAAAUUAGGUGGUUACCCCAGAAAAAUGCUGCUCAGUUUUUAUUGUCUACCAAUGAUAAAACAAUAAAAUUAUGGAAAAUCAGUGAAAGGGACAAAAGACCAGAAGGGUAUAACUUGAAAGAGGAAGAUGGAAGGUAUAGAGAUCCUACUACAGUUACUACACUACGAGUGCCAGUCUUUAGGCCUAUGGAUCUAAUGGUUGAGGCCAGUCCACGAAGAAUAUUUGCCAAUGCUCAUACAUAUCACAUCAACUCAAUUUCUAUUAAUAGUGAUUAUGAAACAUAUUUAUCUGCAGAUGAUUUGCGGAUUAAUCUUUGGCAUCUGGAAAUUACAGACAGGAGUUUUAACAUUGUGGAUAUCAAGCCUGCCAAUAUGGAAGAGCUAACAGAGGUGAUUACAGCAGCAGAAUUUCAUCCAAACAGCUGUAACACAUUUGUAUACAGCAGCAGUAAAGGAACUAUUCGGCUAUGUGACAUGAGGGCAUCUGCCCUCUGUGAUAGACAUUCUAAAUUGUUUGAAGAACCUGAAGAUCCCAGUAACAGGUCAUUUUUUUCCGAAAUCAUCUCCUCUAUUUCGGAUGUAAAAUUCAGCCAUAGUGGUCGAUAUAUGAUGACUAGAGACUAUUUGUCAGUCAAAAUUUGGGACUUAAAUAUGGAAAACAGGCCUGUGGAAACAUACCAGGUGCAUGAAUACCUCAGAAGUAAACUCUGUUCACUGUAUGAAAAUGACUGCAUAUUUGACAAAUUUGAAUGUUGUUGGAAUGGAUCUGACAGUGUUGUCAUGACUGGAUCUUACAAUAAUUUCUUCAGAAUGUUUGACAGAAACACAAAGCGAGACAUAACCCUAGAAGCAUCGCGGGAAAACAAUAAGCCUCGCACAGUUCUGAAGCCUCGCAAAGUCUGUGCAAGUGGCAAGCGAAAGAAAGAUGAAAUAAGUGUUGACAGCCUAGACUUCAAUAAGAAAAUCCUUCACACAGCCUGGCACCCCAAGGAAAAUAUCAUUG